UACGUAGGGCGCAAGCGUUGUCCGGAAUUACUGGGCGUAAAGCGCGUGUAGGCGGCCAACUAAGUCGGGCGUGAAAUCCCACGGCUCAACCGUGGAAGUGCACUCGAAACUGGAUGGCUAGAGUCCUGGAGAGGAAGGUGGAAUGCUUGGUGUAGAGGUGAAAUUCGUAGAUAUCAAGCGGAACACCGGUGGCGAAGGCGGCCUUCUGGACAGUGACUGACGCUGAGACGCGAAAGCGUGGGGAGCAAACAGG
rnacentral:rRNA from 1 species